UACGGGGGGGGCAAGCGUUGUUCGGUAAUUAUUGGGCGUAAAGAGCUCGUAGGCGGUGUGUCACGUCGGCCGUGAAAACCUGGGGCUUAACUCUGGGCGUGCGGUCGAUACGGGCAUCACUAGAGUUCGGCAGGGGAGACUGGAAUUCCUGGUGUAGCGGUGAAAUGCGCAGAUAUCAGGAGGAACACCGGUGGCGAAGGCGGGUCUCUGGGCAGUAACUGACGCUGAGGAGCGAAAGCGUGGGGAGCGAACAGG
rnacentral:rRNA from 1 species